AGGAACCCUUACGUGGCAAAAUCCUAUUCGACCAUCCCUUAAUUUCUCUCUCUCCUUCGCCUCGCGAAACCAUCGACUAACGAAACCAGUUUGGCUUCCUCCUCCAUUCUCGAUCAAUCUGUCUCCAAUCUGAGAAACCGAAUCUAUUUGGGAGCUUAUCAAACGGCGAUCAACAACAGCGAUAUCCCUAACCUCUCGCCGGACGACGCUGUGGAACACGACUGCCUCGUCUUCCGCUCUUACAUCUCCCUUGGGAUGUGCUCUGUAUUCAUUGAUGAACGUGGCCGAGAUCCACAAGUCAAGGAGCGUGCAGAGACUGAUAUAUCUGUUCCACAUGCUCCUGUUCGAGGUUUGUUUGCUCAAAGGAGUGUGCAGAGACUGAUGUUUGCUCAAAUCUGCUACAAAAGGUCUUGGAGAGCAAAAGGCUAGUGAUUCAACUGAAGGCAAGGAUCAUGAUGACCACCUGGCAAGUAGGAAAAGUAUGCUUGAUGCUAUUGAACGUGAGUUUGAAGAUAUUUCAACACAUUCCUCUCUAUGAGUCUUGACAAAGUAUAUGAAUCCAAAUCAGAAUGUUAUAGGAAGAGUUUGCUUAUGUAUUAUUUUUCAUAUUCCAUGUAUCCAAUCAUUCAACUUUAGAAAAAAACUUAAUUUUUUUUUAAGAAACCUCAAUGAAGUUCUCCCA